rnacentral:rRNA from 1 species
GACGAACGCUGGCGGCGUGCUUAACACAUGCAAGUCGAACGAUGAAGCUAGAGCUUGCUCUGGUGAAUUAGUGGCGAACGGGUGAGUAACACGUGAGUAACCUGCCCCGAACUCUGGGAUAACUGCUGGAAACGGUAGCUAAUACUGGAUACGACCUACGAAGGCAUCUUCUGUAGGUGGAAAGAAUUUCGGUUCGGGAUGGACUCGCGGCCUAUCAGCUUGUUGGUGAGGUAAUGGCUCACCAAGGCGACGACGGGUAGCCGGCCUGAGAGGGUGACCGGCCACACUGGGACUGAGACACGGCCCAGACUCCUACGGGAGGCAGCAGUGGGGAAUAGUGCACAAUGGGCGCAAGCCUGAUGCAGCAACGCCGCGUGAGGGAUGACGGCCUCCGGGUUGUAAACCUCUUUUAGUAGGGAAGAAGCGAAAGUGACGGUACCUGCAGAAAAAGCACCGGCUAACUACGUGCCAGCAGCCGCGGUAA